UCACACCAGUGAGUGCCACAUGUC
rnacentral:siRNA from 1 species